GUCACCGUGGCGCAGAGGUAAGCAUGUCCGCCUAUGACGCCGAACGCCUGGGUUCAAGUCCCGGCGUAGACA
rfam:Stomoxys calcitrans breed 8C7A2A5H3J4 unplaced genomic scaffold Scaffold40, whole genome shotgun sequence.